CGAGCACGGAAUUGCUGAAGUUGUGAAGGUUGAUGCUGUGAAUGCGCUCGGUCAUCCCCUUGCAACUGAUGUCACCUGCAGCAUGUCAACGCAGACACAAAACAGGGCAUGGGUCAGAUCUAGCUGGUUGCAUUCCUAACACCUAGGUUUCAGAGUAAAAAUACAGAGUCAGCUUGUGAUGGCAUUCCCUCAAAACAUGGAAGGAAUUGCAGUAAUGAAAGUCAUCAUGUAUUCUAAGAGACUGUUCUGCGAGAGCACAACACAGACGGGGCUAAAGCAGGGUGAGAAGCAAAAGUGCUCAGGAGUUAAGAGAAGCAGACGUCCGAAAUUAUCUCCAUGCAUUACCAAAAACCGUGGGCACCACGGCACGGGGAAAACUUACCAGACAACUCUCAUGCCAUCAAGCCGACGGACUUUCAAAAAAAUAAAAGAUGCAUUUCUUUACUUGCAACAUCAGCUCCUGAUUUCUAGGUCUGGAUCUGGGUUCUCUGUAGCACAGGAAGGUCUCUACUUCUCCUACAUAAAUGCCUUGCAUGGCGGGAACUAAAUCAACUACACAGACCCAUACAUCCAGAGAGCAGAGGUGAGCUGGAUACAAGUGGCUUAGAGAUGUGGUGGAAGGAGGCCAGAGCUCCAAGGGAAGGGCAGCAAGGAGACAACAGCAUGGGUUGCAGCUCAGACAACAGGUAAAUAAAACCAAGCAAAGCUGCUGGUCACAGAUUUGACCAGGGUGGCAAGAAAUGACAAGCUACCAUGAGAUUCAACAGUGGCACGGAAGGAUGAUGAGAAGCAAACAGAUUAGGAGAAGCUGCCACCACCGUACAUAGAGGCACAGAUGACCAAGCAGAACAGCACCAGUCCCUGCAAGGUGUGCUCAGAUACAGCUCAGCACAGCCAUCUGGCCAGGAGGGAAUGAUAAUGCACAUGGUGUGCACUGCAGCCGGGAAGUUGAGAACCGCUGUGGGCACCUCAGGACUGAGUCUGGUUACCCUGCUGAUCCAAGAAAUGAAGCCAUCUAAAAUUUUGCCUGCUUUCACAAUUUUCUGUGUGUGUGUGUGUGUAUUAAACAAAGUGAACUAAGAAGCCUUUUAUUGGAGACAUAAUGUACUCACAGUAGUUUCAAAAUCAAUGGUGUCACUCUUCAGGUAAAUUACUCCAAGGCUUGGGCCUAGUGCAGAUGUUCAUUGGGGCAGGGAGCAGAGAGCGGCUGCAUCUAGAUCAGACAAAAAACAAAAAUAAGGUUGUUAAAUGAACAGGUGAUGGUGAUGGCAAU
rnacentral:lncRNA from 10 species